rnacentral:rRNA from 1 species
CCUACGGGUGGCAGCAGUGGGGAAUAUUGGGCAAUGGAGGAAACUCUGACCCAGCAACGCCGCGUGAAUGAUGAAGGUCUUCGGAUUGUAAACUUCUUUUCUAAGGGAAGAAAAAAGUGACGGUAGCUUAGGAAUACGCCUCCUGUAACUACGUGUCAGCGGCCGCGGUAAUACGUAGGCGGCGAUCGUUAUCCGGAAUGACUGGGCGUAAAGGGUGCGUCGGUGGUGUAGCAAGUUAGUAGGGAAACUCCUAGGCGCAACACUGGAACUAAUACGAAAACUGUUGGACUUGAGUGCAGGAGAGGCAAGUGGAAUUCCUAGUGUAGCGGUGGAAUGCGUAGAUAUUAGGAGGAACACCAGUGGCGAAGGCGGGUUGCUAGACUGUAACUGACACUGAGGCACGAAAGCGUGGGGAGCAAACAGGAUUAGAUACCCUAGUAGUC